ensembl:lncRNA
AAACCACCCAUCUACCCUCCUGAUCUGUAUAAUGCUUAAAGACCUGAAAAUCCAAGUUUCUUCUAAUCAAUAUGACCACCCCUCUUUUUCUAGCCGAAAAUGCACUAAAAUAAACUUGCGCCACCCAGUCUCUUUUAAGCUUUAAUGAUUCGGCCUCAUCAAGAUGGGUCUCCUGAAUCAGGGCUAUAUCAGUCUUUUUCUGUUUCAGAUAUGUGAGGAUUUUCUUCCUUUUAAUAACAUUAUGACAACCCGCUAUAUUCCACGACACAAUUUUACAUAACUCCAUAACACCAUGUGAGCCGAAUUAUUAUACAAAUUUAUCCAGAGGAAUAUCCCAUUUACCCAUAUAACAACUCUUAGAGCCAGUAACAUGAGACAACCCAAUGAUCCAAAAAUUAGGUCUAUACAGGACAGUUGGUACCAUACCAUCAAAACCAACAACAAAACCAAACACGAGAGAGAAGAAAAAAAAAAAAAAAAAAAAAAAAAAACAAAAAAACAUGAAAACAUAAAAAAUCGCAGGUCCGUGGCACUCAAAAAAAAUUUCCCAGAUGGUGUCCCUCCUUACGUCUCCCCCCCCCUCAGAAGUAAACCAACCCAUAGCUUAUCAAAUCCUCUUAAUCUACAUCACCCGGAAUGUUAACCAAAUCCAGGCCGCUUAGAAAUUGCUUAGCCUCAGCUGGGUUGGAAAACUGAUGAUACUGGUUAUCCACUGAAAAAGUCAUAACAGCCGGAAAACGAAGAGAAUAGCCAAUCUUGUACUGUUGCAACAAGCGGCGCACCUCAUCAAACUUCCUGCGUUUUUCUUGUACCUCCUGAGCGUAAUCCUGGAAAAAAAGAACUCUCAUGCCUUUCCAAACGAUCUGCCCCUUUUUUCUGGCAGCCGCCAGCACGGACAUCUUGGCUUUAUCCCGUAGGAAGCGAACAAUAAUGUGUCUCGGUCUGGAGUCCGCAGUGGGCUUCGGAAAAGCUGGCCCCACUCGAUGGAUUCUAUCUAUUUCGUAGUAAUCUCCCAUCUCAAUGUCCAGAGCCUCAGACAGCAGAUUCUUCACGUAAUCCUCAAUAUUACUGCCUUCGGAUCCUUCUCUAAUACCCGAUAUUCUAAUAUUCUGGCGCCGUGAGGAACCCUCAAGCGCCGUUACUUUUUCCUGCAGCCGCUGGUUCUGUAUCUUCAAGAUCUUACAUAUUGAGCUGGCUUUAGCCUCUUCGUCCUCC